CGGGGUGGAGUAACGCGUGGGUAACCGUGCCUCAUACAGGGGGAUAACGAUUGGAAACGAUUGCUAAUACCGCAUAAGCGCACAGUACCACAUGGUACAGUGUGAAAAACUCCGGUGGUAUGAGAUGGACCCGCGUCUGAUUAGCUAGUUGGUGAGGUAACGGCCCACCAAGGCAACGAUCAGUAGCCGACCUGAGAGGGUGACCGGCCACAUUGGGACUGAGACACGGCCCAG
rnacentral:rRNA from 1 species